UUUGGAGGAGCUCUUAAUGGGUGAUAGGACAGAACCCAGGCUAGCCCCUGCUGGGUGCCCCACCCCCACCCUGUGAUUACCUAACAAUUGUUCCCUAGCGUUGCUAUAGGUCAUAAGGACUGAGGAUGGGUUCUGUGAUGUAUUGGGAAUGCGGCCUUGGGGAACUGCUUCAGAGUCCCGGGUGGACAUAAGCCUCCCUAACACCAAUGAGCUCCCCCUCCCAUACCCCUAAUCCGUCCCCAACCCAGUCCCCAUCCCAGUCCCGAUCUAACCACGCUGAUAAUCCAACCAACCAGCAGCUCCCCCUAAGCUCUGGAGGCUCAGCCCCUUCCCCUUCCCCCACCCGGGGGGCUUCCCGCCCAACCUCUCACAACCCUACCCCAGCCGCCUCUCAGCCUUCCUCCCGAGCUUCCUCCCAGUCUCCGAGUCCCCACGUCCAGCAUGUGCCCAGAGGGUCUGCUCAGGUUCCUACCCCUCCAGCCUCCAAAUCUCCCUCCCAGACUGGUCUAAAAUCCCUCUCUCGAAACCCUUCCCUGACACCCUCGGUGACCGUUACCAGGUCCCCUUCCCAUAGCCCUGCCGCCUCGGCCUCCUACAUCGGGCCUGCCAUUGGGCCCAUUCGUUCCAUUCCUUCCUACAUCGCCCCCUAUGUGCCACGCUUCAUGAAAGAGCCACCUUAUUUCCAGCCCCCCACAGCACCUCUUCCACAAAAUCGGUGCUUCCCCUGCCCCUUCCCGUGCCAGGCCCAGCAGACCAGGCAGCCACCACCACCACCUCCCGACUCUCUCUACUUCCCCCUCCUGCCACCUCCCCCCCACGUUCCCCAGUCCCAGUGCUCCUAUCCCACACCCCCAGCCCUGUUCAUACCCCCAUCCUCCCUCUCCUACACUCCACCGACGGAGGUCCUGCUGAAGGGGAAGCCGCACGUCGUACCGUCGGUCCUACCAGCCACCUUCUAUACCCCGUUCUCGCGCUUCUACUCCCAGCCCCGGCCCUACCGCUAUCACAGGCGCUUAACACUACCCUCACUCUCCCUUCAAUACGAUGGUGCUGGGCGCUCUGUCCAUUUCUAUCGUGGGACCUAGGCCUCACAUCUAUUUCGGACCGGAAACCUCUGCCAGUAAAUUCAAGCUCCUGCAUCCGGACUUCAUCGGCUACCUGACAGAAAGGUAUGGGGGAUGCGUGGGGAUGGAGUGGGAGAUGGGGAACCAACAUCCCCUCUUUUCCCUCUUUGAGUAGACCCCACACAUCCAGGGUGCUGGGCCAGCUUCACUAUACGCAGAGACAGAACCUGUACUGAGCUCCCACUGAAAGCCUGUGGUUUCAUUCACUGUCUGAUU
rnacentral:lncRNA from 1 species